CCAGCCUCUUCCUUCCCCCUGGCCUGGGGGUGGCUGGGGAGGGGCAGUUCCUCUUUCCUUCCUAAACACCGAGGACGCUCCAGCUCCCAGGGGCCUGACAAUCUGGUUAGGGAAAGAAGAUCACACUCCUGUCGGGACCCCCUUCCCUGUCCCCUCCAAGAAACAUGAACCGGAAAGACAUCAAAAGGAAGUCUCAUCAGGAAUGCUCUGGGAAGGCAGGAGGGCGGGGUCGGCCACGGCAGGCCCGCCGCCACAAGACGUGCCCCACCCCCCGGGAAAUCAGCAAGGUCAUGGCUUCCAUGCAUCUAGGACUGCUGAGUGAGAACAGCUGCAGCGAGGAUGAGCUCCUGGAGGAAUGUAUCCGGUGCUUCGACUCAGCCGGCAGCCUACGCCGAGGAGACCACAUUCUCAAGAUGGUGCUUACGAUGCACAGCUGGGUGCUGCCAUCCUCGGAGCUUGCUGCCCGUCUGCUGACUUCGUAUCAGAAAGCUGCCAAAGAUGCCCAGGAGCCAAGACAGCUCCAGAUCUGUUACCUGGUCAGGUACUGGCUGACCCAUCACCCUGAGGUCGUGUACCAGGAACCUCAGCUGGAGGCAGUCAUAAGCCAGUUUUGGACCACUGUGGCUCAGGAGGGCAACAUGGCCCAAAGGGGCCUAGGAGAUGCCUCCAGCCUGCUGAGCCCCGCAGGGCCCGGUCCCCCACCUCCCAUGAGCAGCCCAGGCCUAGGAAAGAAGCGGAAAGUGUCCUUGCUGUUCGAUCAUCUGGAGACACAGGAGCUGGCACAGCAUCUUACGUACCUGGAGUUCCGGUCCUUCCAGGCCAUCACACCCCAAGACCUGCGGGGCUAUGUUUUGCAGGGCUCAGUGAGAGGUUGUCCUGCUCUGGAAGGUUCUGUGGGUCUGAGCAACAGUGUGUCCCGCUGGGUGCAGGUCAUGGUGCUGAGCCGUCCUGGGCCUGCACAACGUGCCCAGGUACUGGACAAAUUCAUUCGUGUGGCACAGGGGCUUCACCAGCUGCAGAAUUUCAACACACUGAUGGCGGUCACAGGGGGCCUGUGUCAUAGCGCCAUCUCCAGACUCAAGGACUCCCAUGUCCAUCUGAGCCCUGACAGCACUAAGGCCCUGCUGGAGCUGACAGAGCUCCUCUCUUCCCACAACAACUAUGCCUACUACCGCCGCACCUGGGCCAGCUGCACUGGCUUCCGGCUGCCGGUACUCGGUGUACACCUCAAGGACCUGGUGUCUCUCUAUGAGGCCCAUCCAGACAGAUUGCCAGAUGGUCGCCUGCACCUACCCAAGCUGAAUAGCCUCUAUCUAAGGCUGCAGGAGCUGACAGCACUCCAGGCACAGCAUCCCCCCUGCACUGCCAAUGAGGACCUGCUUCACCUGCUGACGCUUUCCCUGGAUCUCUUCUACACAGAAGAUGAGAUCUAUGAGCUUUCUUAUGCCCGGGAACCACGCUGUCCCAAGAGUCUGCCACCAUCCCCCUUCAAAGUACCUGUGGGGGUAGAGUGGGCCCAUGGUGUGACCCCAAAGCCAGACAGUGUGACUCUGGGCCAGCAUGUGGAGCAGCUGGUGGAGUCCGUCUUCAAGAACUACGACCCAGAAGGCCGCGGCUCUAUCUCUCUGGACGACUUUGAGCGGCUGUCAGGCAGCCUCCCCUUCGCUUGCCAUGGGCUCCACCCACCUCCCCGCCACGGGAGUGGUUCCUUCAGCAGAGAGGAGUUGACCAGGUACCUGCUGCAUGCCAGUGCCAUCUGCUCCAAGCUGGGCCUGGCCUUCCUGCACAACUUCCAGGAGGUCACCUUCCGCAAGCCCACCUUCUGUCACAGCUGCAAUGGCUUCGUGAGCACUGGCUCUGUUAGCACCCUUGGGUCCCAUCUCCCCUGGAUUGUCUCAGCUCCUCACACCCUAACUUGGGCCAGUGUUGGGGCAGGGUUUUGGUGGUGGUGGUGGUGGUGGUAGAGACUUUAGAAAUGCCCCAGCCUCAGAUAUUUCAUGGAGUUCAUAUAAGCACCAAACACUGUGUCCUCCCCAAACUCUACGUGAUAUUAGGUGAUCUUCACCUAGACAAUGGCUAAGCUGUGAAUACUCUCCAAAACCCCCAAGUAAUUCCUAAAACAUAAUCUUCAGACCUGGGUAGAUCACUUUGGGCAUGGUGGUAUACUAGGAUCCAGGAGUGCAAGGCCAUCCUCAGCUACAUAGUGAGUUUGAGGCCAGCCUGAGUCAUAGGAGACCCUGUCCUUUAAAAAACACUGACAUAGCUGGGUGUGGUAAUGACACAACUUUAAUCCCAGCACAUGGGAGGAAGAGGCAGCCUGAACUCGGAGGUCGAAGCCAGUCUGGUCCACAGAGUGAGUUCUAGGACAACCACAGAAACCCUGUCUUAGAAAAUAUAAACAGCCGGGUAGCAGUGGCGCACGUCUUUAAUCCCAGCAUUUGGGAGGCAGAGGCAGGCGGAUUUCUGAGUUCGAGGCCAGCCUGGUCUACAGAGCGAGUUCAAUGACAGCCAGGGCUACACAGAGAAACCCUGUCUCAAAAAAACCCCAAAAAACAAAAACAAAAAACAAACAAACAAAAAAAUAUAUAAACAAAGAGGCACUGAUGUUGCUGGAAAGAAGGCUCAGCAGGUAACAUCCCGGGGCUGCCCUUGCUGAAGGGCUGGGUUCGGUUCCCACCAUUGUAAGCAGGCAGCUCACAGUUGUUUGUGGUUCUAGUUCCAGGGGUUCCGGUGCCCUCUUUCUGCCUCUGGGGGUACCUGCAUGCAUGUGUUGUACACACAGACAAGUGGCCUGCAUGCAUAUCCUAUAAUAAAAUAAAUACAUUUAAAAUAUGGUAGCUGGAUCUAAUGGCCCAUGCCUGUAUUCCCAGCAUGGAAUUACAUUGGAAUCAUUCUAGGGGACUGAGGCAAGGGUGUUUCCACAAGUUAGAAGCUAGCCUGGGCUAUAUAAGUGAGCUGUAGAUCACUCUUAGCUGUAAACAGAGUGAGACCUGUUGUAAAAACAGGCCAGUGAGAUAGCUCUGGCUCGCUGCUCAGCCCAGAAGCCCAGGUUCUGUCUCCAGGUGGAAGGAAAGAACUAAUUCCAUGAAGUUGUUCUCUGUCAUCAUCAUGCCCUAUGGCAUGUGCAUGUGUGUACACACACUGACACACAGAAACUUCGAGUAGUAACAACAACAACAACAACAACUUUGAAACAUGUUACUCAAGUUAUUUUUCCAAAAAAAAAAAAAAGUUAAACAAAUUUAAGUAUCAGCCUGUGUACACCUUGAAUGCCAGCAUCUAAGAGGCAGAGGCAGGCAGAUCUCUGUGGGUUUGAGGUUAGCCUGGUCUAUAUGAAAGAAUACUUAGUGAAACCUAGUCUCAAGUGAAUUAGUCUCUAAUUGUUAUACCCAGAACCAUUCAAAGUUUAUUUCAUUUCCGGAUUAAAAGCAUCUUUUAUUUUUUGUUGGUUUUCCCUCAAAUUUUGACCUUUUGAGACAGGGUUAUCCCAUGUAGCUCAGGCUGGCUUCAAAUUGGUUUUUUAGGCCAGGGGAUAUAGGACAGUGGGUGAGGCUGCUUGUCUGCCAUACAUAAGACCCUGGGUUCAAUUCUCAGACACACACACACACACACUUAAAUUGACUGUGUUGCCCAGUCUUGCCUCGGCCUCUUGGGAUUACAGGCGUGUGUCUCCAUACCUGGCUUCAGAUUCUUGAUCAUGGACAAAUCUCAAUCAAAUCAAGACCAAUUCAUAGAUAUUACCGUUUCUUUACUCUUAGGCCUGCAUUUGACACAGCCCAUGAGUCAGACACAAACAGCCCCUGCCCAUAGACAGUACAUUUAUGAACUCAGUUUACCCAGUUUUAAUAUCCUGCAUACCCCUACGUUUGAGAUAAUCUCCACGUUCCUAACAUUUUGGUUAAUUGUCAGGAUCUUAAGAAAUUUCAAAACCCGUUGGCUUCCAUCCUUUCCCUCCCGUCCUCCCUCCUGCAGUCCAGCUAACCGCCUCCCCUUCCUUUCCCCAGCUCUGGGGGGUCACCAAGCAAGGCUAUCGCUGUCAGGCUCCGUCCCCCCAGACUGUGGGCUGUGUUGUCACAGACACUGCAGGGAUCAGGUGACAGA